ensembl:lncRNA
CUGGCAGUGAGGUCACUUAAGGGGCCACUGUUAUUCAGGUCACUUUUUAGAAAGCUUUGUGAAGAAAUGCAAAUUCUCAGAUUGUCAGAACAAAACAGUGGAAGUUUCGCUAAGAAAGAAAAGCUUAGCCACAUCGUUUUCCCCUGUAAGACUGAUUAUCAAACUGAGUUCAUGAUGCAGCUUUAUCGAGCUCUGAUCCUGUGUGUGACUCUGUCUGCAGUAUGUGGAUUACGAUGCUACACAUGCACAGCCGCUGAUCCUAAAUCCUGCAUAGACCGCAAAUCUUGCACCGUCAUCUUCAACCGUUGUUUCUCUCUCAGAGUAGACGGUUAUAACUUGGUUACAAAGGGCUGCCAAACCAGUGCAUUAUGCAUUGGGUCUAUGGCUUGCUGUGAAGGGGACCUGUGUAACAGCGCUAUUCCAACUGGUCCCAGUGCUUUCCUGCUGUUGGUAUCUUCAGCCAUCCUCAAGUUUCUUUUCUGAGGCUGUGGAAUGAUGUUUUUCUAUUUUUUUUUAAAUGCUGCUUUCUGAUUUUAUUUUGUACAACUGAAGAAUAAAUAACUUUUGUGUACCAUCAUAUGAAACAAAAUUGUCCUUGACAUUUUGAUCUCAGUCAAAGUAAUUCAGGGUCCUAUUCAAAUACUGUAUUGCUUCAGUGUUAAGUUUUCCUAAAGCAAAUAAAAAUGCAACCAGAAA